UACAGAGGUGGCAAGCGUUGUUCGGAAUUACUGGGCGUAAAGGGCGAGUAGGUGGCCAUCUAAGUCAGACGUGAAAUCCCCCGGCUUAACCUGGGAACUGCGUCUGAUACUGGACGGCUUGAGUAUGGGAGAGGGAUGUAGAAUUCCAGGUGUAGCGGUGAAAUUCGUAGAUAUCGAGAGGAACACCGGUGGCGAAGGCGGCGAUCUGGACGAUGACUGACGCUGAGACGCGAAAGCGUGGGGAGCAAACAGG
rnacentral:rRNA from 1 species